UCCGAUGUGGUGUAGUGGCUAACAUUGCUGUCUUUCAUAUCAGGAGGGCACAGCAGCCCGGGGUUCGAUUCCCCGCAUCGGAA